rnacentral:tRNA from 1 species
GCGGAUGUAGCUCAGUUGGUAGAGCAUCGCCUUGCCAUGGCGAGUGUCGCGAGUUCGAGUCUCGUCAUCCGCUCCA